rnacentral:rRNA from 1 species
GACGAACGCUGUCGGCGCGCCUAACACAUGCAAGUCGAACGAUUGUUGCCACCAGCUUGCUGGAGGCAACAAGAGUGGCGGACGGGUGAGUAACGCGUGAGUAACCUGCCUUUUAGAGGGGGACAACGUCUGGAAACGGACGCUAAUACCGCAUAAUGUAGAAAGACCGCAUGGUUUUGCUACCAAAGGAGCAAUCCGCUAAAAGAUGGACUCGCGUCCAAUUAGCUAGUUGGUGAGGUAAUGGCUCACCAAGGCGACGAUUGGUAGCCGGACUGAGAGGUCGAACGGCCACAUUGGGACUGAGACACGGCCCAGACUCCUACGGGAGGCAGCAGUGGGGAAUAUUGCACAAUGGGGGAAACCCUGAUGCAGCGACGCCGAGUGAGGGAAGAAGGUCUUCGGAUUGUAAACCUCUGUCCUUGGUGAAGAAAUUGACGGUAACCAAGGAGGAAGCUACGGCUAACUACGUGCCAGCAGCCGCAGUAAAAC